UUAACUAAAGUUUGUAUGGAGUUAAAACGUUUGCCUACGUUUGCCGCUAGGGGCGCUGUUUCAACUCCAUACAAACUUGAGUUA
rnacentral:pre_miRNA from 1 species